rnacentral:rRNA from 1 species
UAAUGCGCCUCCAUCGACACGGCGGAUGUGAAUCACUUCACACAAACAGCCGGUUCGGUUGAAGAGAAAAAUCCUGAAAUUCAGGGUUGACUCUGAAAGAGGAAAGCGUAAUAUACGCCACCUCGCGACAGUGCGCUAAAGCGCGUCGCAACUGCUCUUUAACAAUUUAUCAGACAAUCUGUGUGGGCACUCGAAGAUACGGAUUCUUAACGUCGCAAGACGAAAAAUGAAUACCAAGUCUCAAGAGUGAACACGUAAUUCAUUACGAAGUUUAAUUCUUUGAGCAUCAAACUUUUAAAUUGAAGAGUUUGAUCAUGGCUCAGAUUGAACGCUGGCGGCAGGCCUAACACAUGCAAGUCGAACGGUAACAGAAAGCAGCUUGCUGCUUUGCUGACGAGUGGCGGACGGG